AUUAUGAAAUUGAAUCCAAGAUCAGUAUCUAAAUUACUACUGAGUUUUGUUUUUUAAAGAAUUUAACAUUUAUUUUAUUUAUUUGUAUGUGGUGUUGAGGUUCAAACUCAGUGCCUCAGACUUGCUAGGCAAGUGCUCUACCACUGAGCACUACUGGUUUUUUUUAUAUGUUCAGCAUGUGGUCAUACUUUUUCUAUUGAGUUUUUUAAAGUAGUCAUGAAAUUUUAAUAUAAUCUUAAGUUUUUACCUAACAGAAAUCUGUCUAUCCCAACGUUUUCCUUAGUAUUAUUUUUUAUAACCAUGACAGUGUUUUUGCUUAGUAAUUUCUAUAAUAUAUAGAGUCCAAGUAUUUUGUACCAUUUUUUGAAACAUGAGAGAAAAUAACAGCUUUUCUUGAAAGAUAAGAGGAAGUCAGUAUUUUAUGUUUAAAAGCAAACUACUUUUAAUGUCAUAAGCUUGCUGUUUCUCUUAGCUGUUUAGUGCACUGGUAGUUUUUUAAUGGUUAAUGUAGGGCAAAAAAUAUUUAGUGUUUUAGCAAUCAGAAGUCAUUUUUAGGUAAUCAAAAUUAUUAUAUGUUAAGUUUUUUAAAAAUUGCUUUAACUCUACCCUUUGUUGCUACUAUAAUUUCUCUUUCUAAAUUUAGAGAGGAAAUAACUUUUCAAGUAUGUAUAGGACAGAAACUUGACACAUUAGAGGUUAAGAAUUUUAAUUGGUGAAUUGGAGUAGUUAGGCUGAUAACCCUGGGCUUAACAAAACUAAUUUUUAAACUAGGCUCUGUAUAUUUUAUCAUUAUUGUUUGGUGGGUACCAGGAAACUUAAGUUCUUAUGAUUAGAUAUCUGUUGAGGGGGUGGGAAGGAGACAAGUAAUUAAAUACCACCUUAUUUUUUUUCUAAGUGGUUUUAGAGGGUUGCAGUAUGCAUCACCAUUCAAAGCCAAUUUAAAUAGGAAUAUAUCACAUCAUACUCCAAAUAGCAAACAACCUCAGGAAAGUCAUUUAUUCAGACGGCAUAGAUUUGUGCUAGACAGCAGUGAUGCAUUACAAAUAUAUAAUUAUUUGCACUAAUAUUUGAGCAGGUGGAAUGGAUUAGAACAUGGUCAACAUUAUGCUGCUGAUAACAUGUAUUUUUCUAUAUUAAUAUGUACUGUGCAACAUGUAUUAAAAUUGUCAAUAAUUCAUUUUAGCCAAGAUACUAAUAUUUAUAUUACUGUGUUUAAGAGACAGUAUCCAACUGAGCCACUUUUAAUUUAAAAGUCUGAAAAUGGAAUUAAGUUUACUUUCAGAAACCACUUACAUUAUUUUAUAAUCACUGAAAGGUCAGUGAAACAUGGAAUUAUCAUUGCCUGGUGACUUAAUAGGAAGAAAUAUGGAAGGUUAAGAAUGGGAAUAGGAACCUGGAAUGAGGAAGCUACGUUGAAUUCAUAACUCAGAUGAGUGACUUCCUUUGUUUUCACCACUGGAAAUCUCAAAUGAAGAAAAUGUUCUUCCUAGUAUAUCUUUAUAUUAAUAAGCUAAGUGAAAAUGGGAUAGAACCAGUUCAAAGAAAUUAAUUUCUGAAGGUGGACUUUCAAAUUCUUAAAAUUAAACUUUAAGAGGUAAGAAACCUUAAUUAUGUCCCUAUAAUCUCAUAUAGGUAGAUGUCUUUGAAUGAGGACAUCUCUUCUUGUCUACCUGUCAUGUUAAUCUUUAUACUGUGGGUUACAUUGAUUCCUUUGAACUUUUGUUGUGACAGUUCUAUCAGAGCUUUUUGCUGUAGAGGAUAUUAUCCAAAUUGAAUCUGGACAAUGCUGACCUAAAAAAAAACAAACCUGAAACUACCUCCUAGUAUAUUGUUUGCAAAUAUAGUAUAUUAUUUAGAGGGUAGCAUAAGAGAUUCACAUGAAAUAAUGUGAAAAUAAUUUAUAAGAAAAAAUACAAAGUGCCUAUUAGUGUUUUCCAGUAGAAUGUAUUUUCAAUUUUUACCACAAGGGGGAGACAUUAUUUUUAUAGUAAUAUAUAAAUUUUGUUUAAUUUUAAAAAUAGAAUUCAUAUAACUAUUCUCUAUUGAACAGCACUCUGUGAACUUGUGUCUCAUAAUUGUAGGGAUAUGUGUGAAUUUAAAUAAGAUUAUGAAAGUCAUAAAUGAGAAUUCUGGGAGAAUUAAAGACAGAAAACUAAAACAUGGAAUCAAAGUUCAUAAUUAAAAUUGUGUUUUUUAUAGUUGCAUGUCACAUUGAAUUACUUUAUCAACUCUUUAAGAAUAAUAAGAAUCUAUUGAUUAGUUUUCUGCAUUUUACUUAUUAAAGAAAAGCUUUUGAAACAAACUACAGAAGGAUUGUCAAUACUAUACAUACAAAAAAAAUUUCCCUUUGAGAGUAAGUUGCUGCUGUGAUGUGAAUCACCCAGCAAUACUUUUUAUUUACAAAAAGAAGUAGUUUUCCUCUGUAACCAAAAUACAACCAUCAAAUUAGGAAGUUAAUGUUGACAUAUUACUACUGUCUAAUCCUCAGACUUUACUCAAGUUUUACAAGUUAUUCCAAUAAUAUAUUAUUAGAAUCCAGCUGAGAAGUCAUAUUGCUUUAGGUUAUAGUGUCUUUAUUCUCUUUUACUCCAGAACAGUUCCUCAGUCUUUCCUAGAAUUCUGUAACCCUUGGCACUCCUGUUGAUUUUAGGCAAGUUAUUUUGUCCCCACAUUUGGGUUUCUAUUUGACCAUGAUUAGAAUCCACUAGUGCUUUGGCAGGAGUAUUGCAGAUGCUAGUCUGUGUUCUCAUUGCAUCCUAUCAGGUAGUGCAUGAUUUCAGUUUGCCCCAUUUCUGAUGGUAUUCAUUUUGAUAACUUGUUUAAGUUAUCACUUGUUUACAGCCUUCUCCACUGUAAAACUGCUAUUUUUUUCCCUUUGUAAAUUUUUUGUGGGGAGGUACUUUGAAGCUAUUGUAUAUAUCCUCCUAAUUGAAAUUUCAAUUUAUUGAUACCAGUAUGGAUUCAUGGUUUUCUAUUCAGUGGUUUAUAAUUUAUUUUUCUGGAUAUCAUGUUGUCCCAACUUCGGUCAGUGGGAGCCUCUUUGGGUUGCUCCAGUUUUCUUUUGACAUGUUCCCAUCAUUUUUAAAGCACUGUCUUACCUUAGGCACAACAAGAUUUUCCAAGUUUAUUUGGUCUUGCCCCAGCUCUAGAAUCAUCCCUUCACCUUUCGUGGAAAUUGAUAAUUACAAGCCAAGAUUUUUGUACAUAAGAUGUGCUUAUUUUGAUUGAGAUGUUAUUGCUCCCAUUUCUUGUUGGAUGGAGCUAGAGUGCUUUAUGUGUGUAACUCAUACACAUGCAUAUUUUAAAAAAUUUUUUUUUAGUUGUAGAUGGACACAAUAUCUUUAUUUGUUUAUUUUUAUGUGGUGCUGAGCAUUGAACCCAGGGCCUCACACCUGCGAGGCAAGCACUCUACCACUGAGCUGCAGCCCCAGCCCACAUGCAUAUUUUAAAUAUAUAAAGAUACUCCCAUCCCUGUGUGAUACCUUUCUCACUGUACUUGAGCUUCAGUAUCCAUACUGGGUUUUCCUCUUCAUCCUGCUCAGCUACUGAAGUUUGGCUUUAGGACCAAAUUGGGGGAGUGAUAAGGGCUAUUGCAGAAAUCAUGUAAAGAUUCAAAGUUCUAAAUUUUAAAAUUACUCAAUUUUGUCACUGUGAAACUACUAUAUUUUGCUUUUUUUUUUUUUUAACAGUAGCAAGCAAAUUAGUAAAGCUGAGUUGAGGAAUACAAAGUGUUAUGCCAAAGACAUCGAAGUUAAAUUUUGAAGGAAUUAAAUUAAAACGCAUACAAUUUUUUUAAUAUUUCCUUGCUACUGUUAAUUGCUAUAACAGAAACUAUGUGAAUGGAAAUCUGACCAUUAAGUACUGAAUACCAGUAAGAUAUUUUUGCUAAUAAAAUUGAAAGGAAAAAAUAACUAGGUUUUUUUUUUGUAGGCUUUGUUAAAAAAUACAUGUUAGGGCCAGGGAUGUAGCUCAGUGGUAAAGUGCUUGCCUAGCAAGACCGUGGGUUUGAUCCCCAGUUCUACCAAAAAAUAAAAAAUAAGUAAGAUAAAAUUCAUGUGACAAAGGCGUAUAUGAGGGCUAAAUAUCAUAUUAAGAUAAACUUCAUAUGAAAUAGGAGUCAAAUUGAGACAGACAAGUUAAAUAACUUAACCAAAAUUAUAGAUUUGAAGGGUGAUAGAAUCAGAAUUCAAACUUAUAUCCUCAGGCUUCCAGGGCCAAUGUUUUAAUCAUUUUGUACCUCUUUGAGUUCACAAAAGAAGUUAGAUUUCGUCUGCCUUUAAAAAGGCAAGUGUGGGUGGACAGGCUGAGGAAGUAACUCAUUGGUAGAGUGCUUGCCUAACAUGCAUAAGGCCAUGAGUUCAAUCCCCAGCACCACCACCAAAGAAAGAGAGAGAGAGAGACAUGUAGCAUUUCACAAAGUAGGACAGGGGAAGGGGGCAGAAGCACCCUUUUAUAUAUUAGUCACUGUUUUAUCCCUUGAAUGAGAAGACUGCUAUUGAAAGUGGAACUCAGGGUUUGUGGCCCAUCAAAAAAGGCAAGUAAAAUUUGAAUAAUAGUUGGUUUGAGGUAAUUUAUUAAAAGUCUUCAGAGGUAUGUCAGUUAAUUUGUGCCUUAUUAAAAAGACAAUAGGAAGCUCUGAAAUAGGCUAAUGACACAAAAAUUCUGUGUUUUAGAAAAAGACAAGUGGUAGGAAUGUAUGCAGUGGAUUAGAGGAGAGCAGAAACCAAGCUACUACUUUGUUGUCGAUGGUGAAGGACUAACCUGGGGGAUAGUGCAAGACUGAAAAUGAGGUCAUGGAUUCAGGGAACAUUUAAAAGAUUAAACCAGUAGGAUUUAUCUCUUGUUGCUUUAUUCACUGUGGAGGAUGAGCAAAAGAAGAAAUUGAAGAUGAUUCCAAGAUUCCUAACCAACUUAUCUUGAAGAAUAGCUAACAUUUUUGUCUUAUAUCCAGUAGGAAAAAUAGGUUUAGGAGGAAUCUCUAUCAGUGCUGAAAGAAUAUCUACCCUUACACCACUACUUGGUUUAGGUUAUACAAAAAAAAAAAAAACUAAACUUUUUUUUUUUUUUUUUAAACAGAAAUACUAAAAACUUGUGGCAGGAGAAAAAUCAUUUCUUCUAUAGUUUAAAACAUAGGGGACUGAUCUUGAGAUUUUAGUAACAUCAUUUCAUAAAUGUGUAAUUGUUUUAACUUUUUUUACUUAAAAAAAGCUUCCUAGCAUUUCUGUGCCUGGAUGUAAUGGGUAGCCUCAAAUGUAGUAAUACCAGUUGUCCUUGAAGUCAAUCUUUUAGAAAGUGUCAAUUGGGAAUUCUAAACAACACACCUUCUAGCUGAACAAUGUUCAUAUAUUCUAGAAAUACUUUACAUUCCCAGAUUCUAAUCCAGAAUCUUUCACUUUAACAUCCAGGAUGUGGAGCUUUACCUUCUGGAAAAGUACUGCACAUCUAUAACACAAUUUCUGCCAUUAUAUUUUAACUAUAAUCCCAAAGUUACAUGUUUAUCUUAGUAAAGUCAACAGAGGUAUUCCUUGGCAGAAAUAUGUGGAAUGUGUAAUUACAAAUUAUAGCUAGAUAUACCACAAACUAGUUUUCUUUGAUUUUCAGACAGUAUUUUGAAAGCAUCUUUUUUUUUUUUUUUUUUUUGAUCAUUUGGAAAUUCAACAUAACAAAGUGUUUAAAGUAGCCUACUAGCUAACCAAAGGAUUAGAAAAUUUGAAGGUAAUUUUAUUUCUGAAUCUAGUGGGGAAAAUACAUUGUCAUCUUUAUAUUACAGGUGUUUUCUAAUUCUAUAAGAAUUUUAUUAACAAAAAAGUGAUUUUCAUUCGAUUACUAAUGGCUUUGAUCAAAAUAGUAUGUACAGAAUACUGAAUGUUUUAAUAGCCCUGAAAAUUAUAGAUACAAAUUUCAAUAAAAUUCUGAAAUUGCAUUUAAUAAAAUUUUAAUGCAUAUUUAAGUUUCAAUAAUAAAGAGAAACAUGACUUCCAAGAUAUUUUAAUUCUUUAUUUUUUGAUGAGAUUAUAUAAGACUUAAUGAAAGUCACAUGUAACAACCACAGAAUAAUUCAUUUCAAGUGCACAUGAAAAUUUUACAAAAUUGACAUGUGCUAAACCAUAAUGUUUCAAUAAUUUUCAAAAACUGAACUCACUGUGUGC
rnacentral:lncRNA from 1 species